AGGCUCGGAGCGGCUGGAUAGGAGGGGACUUUCCAACCAAUAAAUGAAGUGCAAGCCAGCUACUCAGUAAACUAAGAAGAAGUAAAAGGAGACUAUUCAACAGUCACCCAAAGCCUGUGUGUUCCUUUGAUGACAGGUGGAACUGAUAACUGUACUGAGAGCAAAGCUGAGAGUGCCUCAGGAUGCAGGAAGUAGAAGAUUCUUACACAGACCAGCUGAGCUGAGGAAAUGAAGGACUUAGGAUGAAACCAUUAGAACUGUUUUCCCUGAUGACGCUGGGACUUGUGAUGCUUGCAUGAGACAUCAUGUCUUUACAACGUGGAAUGCCUUGACCCAGAGUUAUUACAUUUUUUUAUUCUUUUCCUUUUAAACCUCAAAGGCAAGAUGC